UGGGGAAUUUUGGACAAUGGGCGCAAGCCUGAUCCAGCCAUGCCGCGUGCGGGAAGAAGGCCUUCGGGUUGUAAACCGCUUUUGUCAGGGAAGAAAUCUUCUGAGUUAAUACCUCGGGAGGAUGACGGUACCUGAAGAAUAAGCACCGGCUAACUACGUGCCAGCAGCCGCGGUAAUACGUAGGGUGCAAGCGUUAAUCGGAAUUACUGGGCGUAAAGCGUGCGCAGGCGGUUUUGUAAGACAGAGGUGAAAUCCCCGGGCUCAACCUGGGAACUGCCUUUGUGACUGCAAGGCUUGAGUGCGGCAGAGGGGGAUGGAAUUCCGCGUGUAGCAGUGAAAUGCGUAGAUAUGCGGAGGAACACCGAUGGCGAAGGCAAUCCCCUGGGCCUGCACUGACGCUCAUGCACGAAAGCGUGGGGAGCAAACAGGAUUAGAUAGCCCUGGUAGUCCACGCCCUAAACGAUGUCAACUGGUUGUUGGGAAGGUUCCUUCUCAGUAACGUAGCUAACGCGUGGAGUUGACCGCCUGGGGAGUACGGCCGCAAGGUU
rnacentral:rRNA from 1 species